UGAAAUCCCCGGGCUUAACCUGGGAAUUGCGUUUGAAACUGCAGAACUAGAGUGCGGCAGAGGGAGGUGGAAUUCCAUGUGUAGCAGUGAAAUGCGUAGAGAUAUGGAAGAACAUCGAUGGCGAAGGCAACCUCCUGGGCUAGCACUGACGCUCAUGCACGAAAGCGUGGGGAGCAAACAGGAUUAGAUACCCUGGUAGUCCACGCCCUAAACUAUGUCAACUAGUUGUCGGGUCUUAUUGGGCUUGGUAACGUAGCUAACGCGUGAAGUUGACCGCCUGGGGAGUACGGUCGCAAGAUUAAAACUCAAAUGAAUUGACGG
rnacentral:rRNA from 1 species